AAUAUUGGACAAUGGGGGCAACCCUGAUCCAGCCAUGCCGCGUGUGUGAAGAAGGUCUUCGGAUUGUAAAGCACUUUAAGUUGGGAGGAAGGGCAGUAAGUUAAUACCUUGCUGUUUUGACGUUACCGACAGAAUAAGCACCGGCUAACUUCGUGCCAGCAGCCGCGGUAAUACGAAAGGUGCAAGCGGUAAGCGGAAUUGCUGGGCGGAAAUGGCGCGUUAGGUGGUUGUUAAAGUUGAAGUGAAAGGCCCCGGGUUAACCUUGGAACUGGUUUCAAAAAUGGAAAUGUUGAGUAUUGGAAAGGGGGGGGGAAUUUCCUGUGUAGCGGUGAAAUGCGUAGAUAUAGGAAGGAACAUCAGUGGCGAAGGCGACCACCUGGGCUAAUACUGACACUGAGGUGCGAAAGCGUGGGGAGCAAACAGG
rnacentral:rRNA from 1 species